UACAGAGGUGGCAAGCGUUGUUCGGAAUUACUGGGCGUAAAGGGCGCGUAGGCGGUCAGGUCAGUCCCGUGUGAAAUCCCUCGGCUCAACUGAGGAACUGCACGGGAAACUGCCUGGCUUGAGUUCGGGAGAGGGAAGCGGAAUUCCCGGUGUAGUGGUGAAAUGCGUAGAUAUCGGGAGGAAGGCCGGUGGCGAAGGCGGCGCUCUGGAACAUUUCUGACGCUGAGGCGCGAAAGCGUGGGGAGCAAACAGG
rnacentral:rRNA from 1 species